GAAAUAACCACCGAUCUACAGUGAAUAUAAUCACAGAUAAGAAGAUGGCUAGAUGUUACAAUUGUGUGUGGUUACUACUGAUCAUAUACACUCUGUGAUUUACUGCACGGAUUAACGUGUGAUAGAUAACUAAUGACUGCACGUCCGAGAGCUGGGAUGCGUUCAGGCAUCAAUCAGAAAGUUGCAUUGGCACACUCAGUGAAUAUCG